rnacentral:lncRNA from 1 species
GGAUAUGUCCACACAGUGAGCAAAAAAAGUAAGAGAACAUACUCAAGAGAGGAAGAAAUCAUAUAUUGUAUUAAAUUGUUGGAUUACAAUAGUGGAUAUUACAUGAGGAACAUCAUCCCAAUGUGAUGCAUAAUCUAAAUAUUUUGUUGAUAUCCCUACAACUUAACCGAGGGACAUCAUCCAACAGGAGCAACAUCCCUACAACUUAACCAAAACAGAAGGCAUCCAUCAUCAUCAUCAUGAACCGGAUCAUCAUCAUCAUCAUGAACCAGAUCAUCAUCAUUGCAGUAUACUUGCCACACACCCAUAUAAUCAUCCAUAUAUAUUCUGAAUCUACAAAGAAAAUAACAAAAUGAACUAUUAACACACAAUGAUUUGACAUCAUGCAGCUAGUGACAGAGGCAGGUUAUUAGUCACGUACAAAUUGUGAAGGCCAAUCUUCAUUGUACAUAAAAAAUUACUAGUAUACAUAGCAUAUGGAAAUGCAUUCAGAAUUUACCUCAAGGUGAUCAUUGACCCUUUAGUAAUAGUUUUGUUACCUUUUCUUUGAGGGGUUCAGGUUACAUACUUAAACUAUAUGAGCCUAAUAUGAGCGUCUUAGUGUAUGGUAGAAAGUAAGUGUUACCAUUUGCUUUGAUUGCUUCCAAUGUUGAACAUAUCAAAUGGGAGAAAGAUACACAUUUUGUACAGCUUGCGGUGCGAAAUCUGUUGGAGCAGCACGAACCUGCACCAAUUGUUGGCGUCCCUUCUCCACCUCCUCAUGAGAUCCUGGUCCAAGCAUGAGUAAAAUAUAUCAGAGUACAAAUAGACUUUUAGUUUGUGAUUGUAAACAUAAUUUAAAUAUUAGUUACACACCAGUUGUGGUAAAGGGCCUAAUUAAUUUAUUCAACACAUCAUGCUAGUUAACAUGGUAAUUCGUCUUUGGGUAAAAAUAAAUGAGUCAGGACAAAAUCACUGCCUAUGCAGUAUAUAUAGACAGCCAGAAAGACCUAAAUAUGAAAUCGUUACAAAACGAUGGAGAGACAUGCUUACAGUUUUUCUGAAGCUACAAACUUUUCACACAGCAAGGUAUAUAUGCAGUGACCAUGACUAGUCACAACAAUUCUUUAAUUGGGGUGUGUACAAUUUGCAAAAGACAUGCAGCUAACGUAAUUCAAAAAGCAUUGUGCACGCACCUUUUAUUGUUUCAUAACAUGAAAAGGGUGGGAAAACGCCAAUUUUGGAACAAAAUUAAGGACUGCUUCGGAACCACACACCAUUAGUCAGGAUUACAAUCUCGUAUAUUCUGGAAAGUAGCUUAAUUAGCUUAUUAUGCUUUCAGUAAGUGGCUGCUCUGAAAUCCAAAUAAUGAAACCGCAGAGGAACGAUAUACAUG